rnacentral:sRNA from 2 species
UUAUUCCUCACUUUUUCUUAGCUCUUUUCUCAUUUUAUGCUCAUGUGCUUGUUUGACCUGUCUCAGCUUUUGAAACUUGUAAAGGAAAAAAAGACUUGCAGUAACAGUAGUUGACAACCCAGUGAUGGUUAUAGUGGCUGUAGCCAUUAUUGACCAAUCACCACUUUGAGCAGUGUAAACAUUGAUCAAGGAGUUUUCUGCACACAGUAAUACAAGCAAAGUAUUCAUUUUUAAAUACUGACAGAAAAAGACGAUUGAUAAGCCAAAUAUAAUUGUUUCUCCAAGUUCUUCCAAGCCACAACAUUCCCACUGCUCCAAAGAAGAACAAAAUACUUGCAAUAAAAAGCAAAGGAGGGUUUUGAAUAGUAUUCAAAAUUGCCUGUUCUAUACCAUGUUGAUCAAGAUGAUUUUGUAUAGUAUUAGAUUUCUGAAGAGAUGUGAAUGUUCCAGGAACAAUCAAAUAACCUGCAAGAAGAAUCCAAUUGAAUAGUCCAGCACAAAAAUUAUGAUUCCAGGGAAUAUUAUCCAAAUCUAACAGCAUCUGAACAUAUACUGUAUCUUCACUCAUAGUUUUACUUAAGUUUCUUCUCAAAUCAGCAUUAUCACAAAUAUAGAUAAAAAGGAAAGAAAGAAAGAAAGAGUAUAAUAAUGAUUUAUUUAUAAUGCA